rnacentral:ncRNA from 1 species
UAGGCUGACAGCAAAGUACCUGAUGCACAGGCCGCUCACGAGAAGACACUGACCGCAUUGAUGGCUGCCCAGGGUGGAGCCAACGUUAUAUACGGUGCAG